rnacentral:rRNA from 1 species
CAGCAGCCGCGGGAAUACGAAGGGUGCAAGCGUUAAUCGGAAUUACUGGGCGUAAAGCGUGCGUAGGCGAUGAGUUAAGUCUGCUGUGAAAUCCCCGGGCUCAACCUGGGAAUGGCAGUGGAUACUGGCUCGCUAGAGUGUGUCAGAGGAUGGUGGAAUUCCCGGUGUAGCGGUGAAAUGCGUAGAGAUCGGGAGGAACAUCAGUGGCGAAGGCGGCCAUCUGGGACAACACUGACGCUGAGGCACGAAAGCGUGGGGAGCAAACAGGAUUAGAUACCCCCGUAGUCCCUGUCUCUUAUAC